rnacentral:lncRNA from 12 species
AUGACCACUGCCUCAGCGACGGACUUCCAUGGCAUUCCUACUGGGGACUGGGGUCCUGCGACUGCCACUGUUUCUACUUCUCAGGCCUCAAGGAAGGGGACACGGCUCACUGCUCUGAGGCUGGGUCCCAAACGGGUGUCAGCUGCUUCCCUCAGCCACGACAGCAACAUUGGAAUCAGGUUCUAUAUCUUAAGGAGAACUUUCUAUAAGUCUGGGAUUAAUGAAAGGAAAUUGUGAAAACUGAGAAUCAUUAAAAACUAUGGGCCCCUUUCAGGCUUAUCCUUUAUUUUUAUUUUUAUUUUUAUUUUUUUUAGGCUUAUCCUUUAAAUGCAUUUCCUUGUGUGGCUCCUGGCUGGCCUCUGUUGACAAAAGGCCAUUGACUCACACCAGAAAUAUCCUGGGGCUGUUCUUGGUCUUGAGGUACCAGCUGAAGGUAUACUCUGAGGAGCACAAAUAAUGCUUUUUUCUUCCCAAUGGAGGUUCCUCCUCCUCAUAGUCUUAUAGCUAACAACUGAUUAAAGUCUUGCCAGGACAACUGACAACAGGAGUGUCCAUCUGCUUCAAGGGCAAGCCAUUCCCCAGCCCCCCUCCUCCCCCACCCCCUGCCACCGGGGGUGUGUCUGGCCCAGAUAAAACAAUCUGCAGAAUGGUCUGACAUUAAUCUGCGCCUUCAACUGGGUUCUCCAGUCUUAUCCAUGUGCACCUUGUAAAUGAGUGCAUGAAUUAUCUGACCAAAACCCAAGCACCCACCCCGAUUCCAACCAAUCAGCUCGACACCAAGCAUCUUCUUAAAUAUUCAGAAAGCUUCCCCUUCACACCAGAGCUUAUAAAUUCUUAGCACAACUCCCAACCCUGUCAACGCUAUCCUCCCCUCCUCUGGCCAUUGCCUGUUCCCCAAGCCCAAGACCAUUAAUCACUCUGCUGCCUGCCAGGCCCUUUCUGUCAGCAACCGUUCCCUUUGACCCUCCUUGUCCAUCUUUCUCCCUCGCCCCAGCCUCUGACAGAACAGAGUGGAGGCUCACACCUGUUGGAAUGGGGUGAACAAAAUCAAUCAACAGGAUUAUGAAUCUCUCCCACUGCCCCUUCCUACCCUCCACCAUUUUCUCCUUCUACUUCUCAGGAGCAUGCCAGGAUUUUAAAUUUCCUUCUGGGAUUGGCCAAAGGGAAGUGAUAGCAAGAGGAAAUGAGAAAGGAUUCAGGGGAAAACAAGAACAACAGUAAUUGGAGCACCCUGCAG